UUUCCUGCUGCAUGGGUCCAAUUCUAUAUUUUUACCGCUAGCCCCACACCCUUGGAUCUCACAUACCUGUAUACUGUAACAGAGCGGCAGGACAAGCUCUUUAAUCAAAGGAGACAGGAUGUUCUCCCAGAAGGAUUUUGGCUUCCUCAGAGCUCCGCCCCCCUCCUAUGGCACCAGCGAUGCUCCCUGCAGCCCUUUUCCUCCGUGUUGGCGUGUUCCUGUGAGGAGCAGCAGCUCGACGUGCUUCUGUCCUAUCACCUCCCCCCAGCUCUUCGCUGACUUGACCAUGCACCACUGGAAUGGCAUUCUUCAAAGCCUUCAUCUCUUCUUUCAGCUCUGACACACACUGAAUUAGGGCCUCCAGGCGAUGCAACACCUCAACCUGAGGUCCGGGCUGACAUGGACUAUCAAUAAACAUCAUGCCAGUCGCAAGUUCAUUAUUAUGGUACAGGUAUUGUGCUGGCAUUGAAGCUCUCCGUCUCAUCUUGAAGCCCUGAUAACAUGCCACUGCCAAGCCGAUGCCAGCCACUCCAGCCAAGGCACCCAGAACCAGAACUUUGCUGUCUGAAUGGGCCAUCCUGCAGGUCAUUAGAGAAAGAAAAACUUCCAUGUCACCAUGUCUAGAAAUGUUCAGUUCAGUGCAGUUCAGUUUCAGUUUAUUUCGAACAUGCAUACGAUACUAUGUAAUGCAUCUCACCAUUCCAGUUGUUUCAUUACAGCGCGUCCAAAAAGGAGUAGGAAAAAGCAGAGCUUAUUUAAUCCUACUCCUUUUCAUACCAUAUCAAUUUUAACCAAUUUCCUUGUUCUUUGUAACAGAAAAGUGAAUAAAUAAACAAUAUACCAUAGUAAGCAUACAAAUAUUAAAUACACAAAUAAUAUUUGUCUCAACAAAAAAAAAGGGUUCAAGGUGUUCAAAAUAAUUUUUGUUCUGUGUAAUUUGUGAACACUUGUAGUUUGAACAAUCUCUUAAACUGGAUCAUACUGGUGCUUUGUUUAAUUUCUUUGGUUAAUCAAUCCAUAAUUUAAUUCCACAUACUGAAAUACGAAAGGUUUCAAGUGUUGUGCGAGCAUACAAAUGUUUUAAAUUAGAUUUUCUUCUAAGGUAUUAGUUCUCCUAUUUUGUUGAGAAGAAUUGUUAUACAUUCUUGGGUAGCAGGUUAUAGUUCACUUUGUACAUAAUUUUAGCUGUUUGCAAAUGCAUUAAAUUGUUGAGUUCCAAUAAUUGUAAUUUAAUAAAUAAAGGGUUUGUAUGUUCUCUAUA